CACUCCCUGGGGUGCUUGCCAGUUGACGAUGUCCCUGAGCCGAUUCGCACUACCCUGGAAGUUGCACGUUGGGCCGGUGUGCAUGUCCGCUAGACGGAAAGCCUUAACGCCUACUGCAUCUUCCGCCUUGAACUUUCGGGUUCAAGGGCUAAGUUAGCAGCGGUUCAUCCGGGGAGCCU
rnacentral:other from 1 species